GGGUUGUGAGGUUAAGCGACUAAGCGUACACGGUGGAUGCCCUGGCAGUCAGAGGCGAUGAAGGGCGUGCUAAUCUGCGAUAAGCGCCGGUAAGGUGAUAUGAACCGUUAUAACCGGCGAUACCCGAAUGGGGAAACCCAGUGUGACUCGUCACACUAUCAUUAACUGAAUCCAUAGGUUAAUGAGGCGAACCGGGGGAACUGAAACAUCUAAGUACCCCGAGGAAAAGAAAUCAACCGAGAUUCCCCCAGUAGCGGCGAGCGAACGGGGAGGAGCCCAGAGCCUGAAUCAGCAUGUGUGUUAGUGGAAGCGUCUGGAAAGGCGCGCGAUACAGGGUGACAGCCCCGUACACAAAAGCGCAUGUGCUGUGAGCUCGAUGAGUAGGGCGGGACACGUGGUAUCCUGUCUGAAUAUGGGGGGACCAUCCUCCAAGGCUAAAUACUCCUGACUGACCGAUAGUGAACCAGUACCGUGAGGGAAAGGCGAAAAGAACCCCGGCGAGGGGAGUGAAAAAGAACCUGAAACCGUGUACGUACAAGCAGUGGGAGCCCCACCACCAAAGCAUUUGCUGUACCGCGUUGACGGAGCGAAGCGACGUCAAACCGAUAAAACAGCAGUGUAAAGUGAGCCGCAGGGCGCUUUGCGCGACAGCGCAAAGGCAGGCGGUUUCGCGUAGCGAAAGCGAAUGCUUUGGGGUGGGGUGACUGCGUACCUUUUGUAUAAUGGGUCAGCGACUUAUAUUCUGUAGCAAGGUUAACCGAAUAGGGGAGCCGGAGGGAAACCGAGUCUUAAUUGGGCGUUAAGUUGCAGGGUAUAGACCCGAAACCCGGUGAUCUAGCCAUGGGCAGGUUGAAGGUUGGGUAACACUAACUGGAGGACCGAACCGACUAAUGUUGAAAAAUUAGCGGAUGACCUGUGGCUGGGGGUGAAAGGCCAAUCAAACCGGGAGAUAGCUGGUUCUCCCCGAAAGCUAUUUAGGUAGCGCCUCGUGAAUUCAUCUCCGGGGGUAGAGCACUGUUUCGGCUAGGGGGCCAUCCCGGCUUACCAACCCGAUGCAAACUGCGAAUACCGGAGAAUGUUAUCACGGGAGACACACGGCGGGUGCUAACGUCCGUCGUGAAGAGGGAAACAACCCAGACCGCCAGCUAAGGUCCCAAAGUCAUGGUUAAGUGGGAAACGAUGUGGGAAGGCCCAGACAGCCAGGAUGUUGGCUUAGAAGCAGCCAUCAUUUAAAGAAAGCGUAAUAGCUCACUGGUCGAGUCGGCCUGCGCGGAAGAUGUAACGGGGCUAAACCAUGCACCGAAGCUGCGGCAGC
rnacentral:rRNA from 1 species